rnacentral:rRNA from 1 species
AACGAACGCUGGCGGCAUGCCUAACACAUGCAAGUCGAACGAGACCUUCGGGUCUAGUGGCGCACGGGUGCGUAACGCGUGGGAAUCUGCCCUUGGGUUCGGAAUAACAGUGAGAAAUUACUGCUAAUACCGGAUGAUGUCUUCGGACCAAAGAUUUAUCGCCCAGGGAUGAGCCCGCGUAGGAUUAGCUAGUUGGUGGGGUAGUGGCCUACCAAGGCGACGAUCCUUAGCUGGUCUGAGAGGAUGAUCAGCCACACUGGGACUGAGACACGGCCCAGACUCCUACGGGAGGCAGCAGUGGGGAAUAUUGGACAAUGGGCGCAAGCCUGAUCCAGCAAUGCCGCGUGAGUGAUGAAGGCCUUAGGGUUGUAAAGCUCUUUUACCCGGGAUGAUAAUGACAGUACCGGGAGAAUAAGCUCCGGCUAACUCCGUG